rnacentral:rRNA from 1 species
AACGAACGCUGGCGGCAUGCCUAACACAUGCAAGUCGAACGCAUGUAGCAAUACAUGAGUGGCGAACGGGUGAGUAACGCGUGGGAACCUGCCUAGUGGUAGGGAAUAACCGCGGGAAACUGCGGCUAAUACCCUAUGAGCCCUCCGGGGGGAAAGAUUUAUCGCCAUUAGGGGGGCCCGCGUCGGAUUAGCUAGUUGGUGGGGUAACGGCCCACCAAGGCGACGAUCCGUAGCUGGUCUGAGAGGAUGAUCAGCCACACUGGGACUGAGAUACGGCCCAGACUCCUACGGGAGCAGCAGUGGGGAAUCUUGCGCAAUGGGCAAAGCCUGACGCAGCAACGCCGCGUGGAGGAUGAAGGCCUUUU